rnacentral:lncRNA from 1 species
CCAUGUGACUGCUGCAACAUGGAGGCUUCAGGUUAGCUGGAGUUCUUACAGGUUGGCUCAGGGCUCCCAAGAUUCACAUAUCCCAAGAGAGAAAAGGAGAUGCAGGCAGAACUUAUGACACAGUCUGGGGAAUCAAGCAACUGUAUUUCUGCCACAUUCUGUAGUGAGUGAAGUCGCUCAGUAGCCUCCAACUCUUUGCAACCCCAUGGACUAUAGCCCACCAGGCUCCUCCAUCCNNNNNNNNNNNNNNNNNNNNNNNNNNNNNNNNNNNNNNNNNNNCUUCUCCAGGGGAUCUUCCCAACCCAGGGAUUGAACCUGGGUCUCCCACUUUGCAGGCAGAUGCUUUACCAUCAGGGCCACUAGGGAAGCCACAUUCUGUAGGUCUGCACUACUACAAAAGUCCAUCCAUGCUCGAGGAGAAGAAACGUAAAGCCUACCUCUCAAUGCAGGAACAUCAAAUGUGUUAUAACAUGUCACAGGUGGAUGUGUGGUACGGAAUACACAUUGAUGCAGCUGUCUAGGAAACACAGUCAGCCACAGCUUGUCUAGUGGUUCUUGAUGACAGGUUGGCCCAAAAUAAGCUAGAAUUUCACUUCCAAGCACACAGAUUCCCUUCUCCAUUCAUUUGGGGUGUUCUCUAAUCAUGGUAAGACUGCCAUACGUUUGAAUGAAGGAGAGGUCUGCUUUGGAGUCUUCUCUAAGCUCAGAUGAAGCCGUCGUCCAUGUAGGCAGCACUCAUCACAUCAACACUGGGCAUACCUUCCCUGAGGCGCACUGAAAGUUCAGGCACCGUUUUGGCAAGGUUUUGGCUACCUGACCUUCAGAGCCUGAGUCUCCUGCUACCCAGUCAGACUCACCCCUCAGGCUUUCUCCAAGCCCAACACAGCAAAGAAAAUCCAUACCACUUUCCAUGGUCUAUUCUACUUUCACUCUAUUUUCAAAGACUCUUUUGUAAAAACUCUGGUCCUACAGGAUGUGAAUUUUAUUUUUUAAAAAAUUCAGAGCACUUCACAUAUUUCGCCCUCUUCCAGGUUCAUAAUGCAUAUUAAUAUACAGCCUCUGAAAAGUACUACAGUGAUGUAAUCUAUUUAACUUUGUCUCACCCCCAUGUCUCAUGAGUUUGUUUAAUGAUGGAAAGUUGGUUUGGGGGAAGUUAUCUUUUUAUUAACAGGAUGCCAAUUAACAGUCCAUAAACACAGUGUAGAAUAUGUCCACAUUGCACAGAGCAUCCUCAGACUUUUGAUUCCAUCUCUGCUCUUGUGGGAUUGUAGAACCAAGUUGUUCAUAAUAAAAUAUUCUGUCUCAAAUUGCCCAGUGGGAGUGAGGUCAUGGCUGAUCACUCUUUUGCUCAGUGGGAUGCAUUUCUGGGUGUUCCAAAGCAAAGAUGGACCGUGUACCAUUUUCCAAAUUAGGCUGAUGGAUGCAUCAACCUUUUCUACCUGCCAGUAACACCACAAGAAGUUUUUAGAAAGCUUGUGUUUACUGUCUGCAAUACACACGGGGCCAUUAGCCAGCUGGCCGGCCUUAUGCAAGUUUCAUUGCUGCCAACUUGCAGUGAGCUGCCCACUCC